GACGAAGGGUGCAAGCGUUAUCCGGAUUCAUUGGGGUUAAAGGGCGCGUAGGUGGUCUUAUAAGUCAGUGGUGAAAUCUCGCAGCUUAACUGCGAAACUGCCAUUGAUACUGUAGGACUUGAGUAUAGUUGCUGUGGGCGGAAUAUGACAUGUAGUGGUGAAAUACUUAGAGAUGUCAUAGAACACCGAUUGCGAAGGCAGCUCACAAAACUAUAACUGACACUGAGGCUCGAAAGUGCGGGGAUCAAACAGG
rnacentral:rRNA from 1 species